rnacentral:rRNA from 1 species
ACGAACGCUGGCGGCGUGCUUAACACAUGCAAGUCGAACGCGAAAGGGGACUUCGGUCCCCCGGUAGAGUGGCGCACGGGUGAGUAACGCGUAGAUAAUCUACCCCUAUAUUUGGGAUAACAAUUCGAAAGGAUUGCUAAUACCGAAUACACUUAUUUGAACGCAAGUGCGAGUGAGGAAAGGUGACCUCUUCUUGAAAGUUACUGUAUAGGGAUGAGUCUGCGUACCAUUAGCUAGUAGGUAGGGUAAAAGCCUACCUAGGCGACGAUGGUUAGCUGGUCUGAGAGGAUGAUCAGCCACACUGGAACUGACACACGGUCCAGACUCCUACGGGAGGCAGCAG